CCUACGGGAGACAGCAGUGAGGAAUAUUGGUCAAUGGGCGCUAGCCUGAACCAGCCAAGUAGCGUGAAGGAUGACUGCCCUAUGGGUUGUAAACUUCUUUUAUAUGGGAAUAAAGUGCAGUAUGUAUACUGCUUUGCAUGUACCUUAUGAAUAAGGAUCGGCUAACUCCGUGCCAGCAGCCGCGGUAAUACGGAGGAUCCGAGCGUUAUCCGGAUUUAUUGGGUUUAACGGGAGCGUAGGCGGGUUGUUAAGUCAGUUGUGAAAGUUUGCGGCUCAACCGUAAAAUUGCAGUUGAUACUGGCAGCCUUGAGUACAGUAGAGGUAGGCGGAAUUCGUGGUGUAGCGGUGAAAUGCUUAGAUAUCACGAAGAACUCCGAUUGCGAAGGCAGCCUGCUGGACUGUAACUGACGCUGAUGCUCGAAAGUGUGGGUAUCAAACAGGAUUAGAUACCCGGGUAGUC
rnacentral:rRNA from 1 species